rnacentral:rRNA from 2 species
UGGGGAAUAUUGCACAAUGGAGGGAACUCUGCUGCAGCGACGCCGCGUGAACGAAGAAGGCUUUCGAGUCGUAAAGUUCUUUUAUAUGGGAAGAUAAUGACGGUACCAUAAGAAAAAGCCCCGGCUAACUACGUGCCAGCAGCCGCGGUAAUACGUAGGGGGCUAGCGUUGUCCGGAAUCACUGGGCGUAAAGGGUUCGCAGGCGGAAAUGCAAGUCAGAUGUAAAAGGCAGUAGCUUAACUACUGUAAGCAUUUGAAACUGCAUAUCUUGAGAAGAGUAGAGGUAAGUGGAAUUUUUAGUGUAGCGGUGAAAUGCGUAGAUAUUAAAAAGAAUACCGGUGGCGAAGGCGACUUACUGGGCUCAUUCUGACGCUGAGGAACGAAAGCGUGGGUAGCAAACAGG